GACGAACGCUGGCGGCGUGCUUAACACAUGCAAGUCGAACGCUGAAGCUCAGAUUUUGCUGGGCGGAUGAUUGGCGAACGGGUGAGUAACACGCGAGUAACCUGCCCCUUUCUUUGGGAUAUCGCCUGGAAACGGGUGCUAUUACUGGAUAUUCUCUGUUAUUCGCAUGGGGGUUGGUGGAAAGGGCUUUUUUGGUGGGGGUUGGGCUUGCGGCCUAUCUGCUUGGUGGAGGGGUGAUGGCAUACCAAGGCAUAGACGGGUAGCCAGCCUGAGAGGGUGACCGGUCACAUAGGCACGGACAUACGGCCCAGACUCCUACGCGAGGCAGCAGUGUCGAAUAUUGCACAAUGGGCGCAAGCGUGAUGCAGCGACGCCGCGUGAGGUAUGGAGACCUUCGGAUUGUGAACCUCUUUCGCUCAAGGUCAAGCCGCAACAAUGGUUAUGGUGAGGGUAGUGAGUAAAGAAGCGCCGGCUAACUACGUG
rnacentral:rRNA from 1 species